rnacentral:rRNA from 1 species
CGCUAAUGUACCCUGGGGUCUGGGAUAGCCAGUCGAAAGAUUGGGUAAUACCAGAUGAGACCACGAUCUGGCAUCAGAUUGUGCUCAAAGGGCAACUGCCCUGGGAUCAGGCGAUGUGGUAUCAGGUAGUUGGUGAGGUAACGGCUCACCAAGCCUUCGACGCCUAGCCGGACUGAGAGGUCGGUCGGCCACAUCGGGACUGAGACACUGCCCGG